AGUAAAGAAAGAACUACAACGACAAAAUCCCGAAGAUUCAUUGUGACCAAACAGUCUUACUGGAUGCCACGAAAAUUUAUCAAACAGCAUAGCACAGGCUUUAUAAAAUAUCCGGAGGACGAGUGACGGUGACCAGAGUUUCACCGCCAAGCAGAUUAAUCUACCGAGGAGACAUUUGCACCAGCACGGACAAAAAGGAGUUGCAGCUCUUCGAGGGAGUGCACAGAGUAUUAUUAAGAAAACUCAAGGUACAAAUAUCAUGUCUGAUUUUAUCUCUCGGGUCUGCGGCGUCAGCCAGGCAACAUGUCGGCUGAAGGUCACCGCCAUUUCGUGCUCGGUCACAAUCGCUAGUUGUAAGAAUUAAAAUUAAAUUUACUAUAAAUUAGAAAAAUUAUAAAACAAUUAAUUAAUAAUGCUAGGACUUAUUUUGGGUUAUUGAUUAAUUUGUUAAGGAAAAUAAUUUCUCUUUGUCCUUACUUAUUUUACACAUAGGCCUGUCUGGGUUAAUAAUACCAGGAAUUUAAUUCGGGUUAUUAAUUCCAGAUUCUUAUGUCAUGUGUAAAAUUUAAUUAUUGAGAAUCGUUGGACAAUAAUUUGGCUUAAGCCAG